UUUGCAUCUUGCUUUAGCUUCAACAUACAUCCAAACACCUGUCAUAAACAUCUUAAGUCCCUUAGGUUAUGCAAGUUUUGUUUGAAGUUGAAUUUUAGAAAAAGUGUUCAAAUCAGUGAAAUUUGGAAAGAAAGAGGUACAAGAGAUCAAGAGGAGCUAAAAUCUUUUUAAAAAAUGGAAAACAAACCUUGUCGGAGCCAGAUCGGAGCAUCAUCAGAAGUUAGAGUUACUGUCCGAAAAACUCAUCCAUCUUCAUCGUGUUCUUCUGGAUUCGUUGCCCAGGUUAGAGCUUCACGUUGAAGCUUGACCGCAUAAGAGGAGGAAUUGUGUUAAAAAUACACAAAAAUUAUUGAAUUGUGAAGAAGUGUUAGAGUGAAUCUUACUCUCUUAUUUACUUUUUGCAGAUCUAAAGGUAUGUUAUUUUUUUAUCUCUCGUUAUUAUUGAAGUUUAAGCUUUGAAUCUAUAUAUCAAAAUUUAUGUAAUAAAUUUGCUUUGAAUUUUUUAAUUUUUGAUAGAGUUGUUGAUAUAAUUUAUUGGUGAAACUAAUGGUAGUAUCUUGGAAAGCAAAGAUGUUUUUGAAACUCAAUCUAACAAUGAACACUUCUUAAAGGGAAGCGCUAAAGUGUCAUAUUAAUACUUAGAUUCAUAGCUUGUAAAUAACAAAAGGAACGGCAUCGGGUAGCCAUUGCUGAAAUAGACAAACGCAAGGUGCGAGUAGGUUUGUGUCAUUGUUGUUUUGUGGCUUGAUGUUGAUGAAAAAGAUUGGAGUAGUAUUUAUAGAUUUAUUGGAGUAAUAAUGAUCCAACAAACUUUAUAUUGCUUUCAGUGGAUGUUUCGAAAAUGUACUUCCGAAAACAGCCUAAAAACAAUUAAAUUUCAGAAAUAUACUUCCAAAUUAAGCAGAAACAGACCUGAAAUUUGAGUCUUGAGUUGUGCAGUCUGUUUUGACAAAUAAUAACAAAUUCAACCAAGCAUAAGCAAAACAUAAACAAUGACAACAUAAAAUAUAAGUAUAUUAUAUAUGUAUUGAAUCGGUUUGAUUUUACAUUCUAAACGACAAUACAUACAAAAAAUGACACACACCCGGUCAUUACAAACAAAAAGGGUCCGGUAAAAUCUAAAACCAGUAAGUUCUUCGACUGCUCUCUAUUUUCCUCACGCUCUUGCUUCAUCAUUUCAAUAAACUCCGUCAUUCUUUCAACAAAAGGAUCCGACCAAGUAUCUGUCCACUGACAAAAAGUAGCCUGUAUAGGACACCUCGGUUUCAAAAAAACUUGCACAAAGUGGCACGAUCUUAGAUACCCGAUACAGAUGACACGGCUAGACGCGUCCAAAGGGGGGUGACUAUGAAGCAGAAAAAAUGUCUCCAAAUAUCCAAAUCUCGUCAAAUCGACACACACCCGAUCGUACGCACUUGCUAUAAGAUGGCCCAUUUCAGGGAAUGACAUCCAUUUCGAAAUCGGGGCGUGACCGCUUAGUGAUGGAACAAGGGAAUCAUGAAGUUUAUCAAAGUUUUCUUGAUUUUCAUAGAGUCGGCCGUAGAUGUCCCUAUGCGAAGUCAACUCCGAAAUAAGUGCCCGUCGAAUAAGAGUGUGAUUUUCUUCUCCUCUUCCAAGCAAACCGGCAACGGCUCGAUACCCCCAAUUACCGUCGGUGCCAACAUCAACUAUGUUAUCAAUAUAUUUGUGCAUAAAAAGCGGCAUCUCAUCAAUGUAGAUCAUCAGAGGUUUUUUUAUCGGAGGUGUGCGCGGCGGCUUCGAAAUACGGGCCCCUUUGUUAGCACUACACUUGAACUUUGGUGUUGGUGAAUCCAGGAUCAAUGCAUUAACAUGUUCAAAGUAGGAAGGAUCUUGUUUGGUUGAUGUGUCUUCUUGGGUACUUUUCGGCUUUUUAGGCGCACCUUUGGUUUUAACCAGUUGAGAUGGCAGUUUCAAAUCAGCGGUCUCCGGAAAUAUAAUUUUUCGCAAUUGUUCUUUUAUGUGCAUUUUCAUGGUGUCAUCCGCUUUAGAAAACUUAUCCAUUACCACUUCCAACUCAUCGGAGAUGGUAAUUUUGGAUUCAUUUUUCUUUCGGCGGCUCAAAAUCAUCAAAAUGGAGCUUUUUCCAAUGGUCAAUUACUUCAUCCAUGCGUAUCAGUGAAUUCAACUUCAUCUUUUUAGAAAGUAUACAAGCACAUGGAAGCCCGUAGGUUUUUCUAAUUGUGAACCCGCAUUUUGAACUAUCCGGCCCCGUUGUCUCCGCCCGCUUGGGCUCAUGAAAAAUUAAAUUCAAUCCCGAACGGGAUAUGUUGUAAAUCAAUUGCGAGAAUAAAUUUUGGCCCUUAAACCGGUGUUCCAUAACCGUCUUGCUCCGACUAAAUGAUGUUUGGAUUUUAUUGUGUAGAUUUUGGAGCAUUUGGUUCACGGUGUCCCAUCCCCGACACAAAUCCCCCUUGCUAUCACCCAACCAUCUCUUCAACGCCGUAUGUGCGGAUUCAACUCGGUUAGUUGUAGUGCAACCAAGAUGUCUCACUCGAUCCGUCCAAGCAUAAACAACUUUUUCUUUUACUUUGUCAAGGAUAUUACUCUCGACGUAAUGACAAAAAGUGUUCAAAGAAACACACAAAAUCCGGAAUUGUACCACUUUCUCGGUGUACAACUCUUCGGAACGUGCAUCUAAAAUCUCCCUCCAUGCGGCCAUAAUCUUGUCCACCACAACACAGGCUUUGAUGAUGUUACCGUUGUCAUCCUUUUUUUCUUUCGUGCCAACCGCGGGUUUGAGUUUACUUCUCACAUUGCACGUUAUGUGAUACCGGCAAAGUAAUAUGGUCGAUAUCGGGAAGACGGUAUCGACCGCAUUCAUCAAAGCAUUAUCUCGGUCGGUAAUAAUGACACUUGGCAUAGUCUUCUGAUCAACCAACAAAGACUUACAUAUUCCCGAAGCCCAUGUAAAGUUAUCUUCUUUCCUACAUUCCAAAAAAGCAAAUCCAACCGAAAAUGUCUUGUCCGUCGAGGUCACACCGACAAUCUCUAGAAGCGGAAGCCUAUACUUGUUAGUAUUGUACGUAGAAUCCAUUACAAGAACGGUUGGAAAUGUGUUGAACAACUUGAUACUUUCGGGAUAAGUCCAAAAUAUGUCACGCACCGUAACUUUGUCCUCACACGUCUGGAAGCUUGAAACGUAUUGGUUAUAGCCCAAAAGUUUAAAAAGUUGUUGGAUUUCCGACCUCGUGCCCAUUUUCAAGACUUUAAUAUUGUGCCGUUCAUUGUAUACUUGCUUUAUAUUUGAAACACUCUCCGGUUUUUUUCGCUUCAAAUCAGCAAGUAUGUUUCUCGGCGCCACUUUGAUUUUCGAUAAGUUUGAAAUAACAUUCUUCUCUUCGCGGGACAACCGACACGCAAUUGGAUGCCCGUGUAGCUUGCUUUCCAAGACAUGAUUAUGAACUCUUCAAAUGAUGCUAAAAUGCCACAAAUCAUCAAUCCUACGAGUCACGCGCAACUUAAACGGACACCCACACUUUCUCGAUCCCGUGUCUUCGUGUUUUAACACCUGGUUUGUUGGAACAAACUUCCCACCCCUCUCGCAAUUCAACACGACAAAAGCUUUCCGUCUAAUACUUCCAUUGUCGGACCUUAAUAUGACAAUGCAAAAUCCAAAUUUAGUAGCUUCACUUUGAACCCAAUCAAGCAAAUGUUCACGACAAGCGGAGCUCAUAUCAUUUGUAAAUUGUUAUCGAACAUCCACCGCAAUGAUCAUGUUUUUAACAUCGUUAACCGGCCCUUUAUCAACGUUGACCCCUUCCGGAACUUCUAAGUCAUCGGCGACAAUGUUGUCCGGAUGCACCAUACCUAACAUAUGCAAAAAUAUACUAAAUCUGUUAUAACUGUUUUUUAUUUCUGCAAGGGCUUAUUUCGGAAGUACAUUUCUGAAAUUUGUUAGGUGAUUUAUUUCGGAAAUGUACUUCCGAACUAACGUAGUUUUCAGUCUACUAAAUCAUCAACAAUGUAGUGUAAUAGGAGAUAAAAUGAAUGAUGUUUACCUCAAAUUACAGCUUUCUAUGCUCCCUUUAGUAUGAUCAAUUGUUUGAAACUUGAUUUUGAGACGAAAAUUGAUUGAGAAUGAUGGAGGUUUUGGAGAGGGUUUGUGAUGAAAAUGAUGAAAUAGUGAAGGAGGGAAAACUGUAUAUGAACAGAUUAUUUCGGAUAUACAUCUCCGAAACAAUAGCUGAUACUUAAAUCCAACGUUUUUUUUUAAUUUUCGGAGCUUUCGGAAAUGCAUCUCCAAAAACACCCCCCAUUUGAUGUUUUUGGAGAUGCAUUUCCGAAUUCUAGGAAAAUCUGAAGAAAAAAAUUACUUCGAAAAUGCAUUUCCGAAAUAGGGGUAUUUUGAGUUUCCCGCAGGAGUUCUCCUCAUUGGGGGGUCUACAAAGAAAUUCUCUUUUUAAAAAUAGUAAAAUGAUAUAUUUAAUAAAAAAGUUUAAAUAAAUUAAUGACUUUUUAAAAGAUGGAGUAUUAUCUAGUUAAGAAAACUCUGAUACGGUGAAUUUAUAACUUUUACCAUAAUUUUAAAAAUAGAAAAAUGAUAAAAUUAGGGAAUAAAAUAAAUUUGAAUAUUAUAUAUAGGCAAAAUAAUUUAAUGGUAAAAUGAAAGAUAGUAAUAUUGUUUUAAUUUUUAUAUUGGAUUCUUUCAAUUAUCGGAAAUUUUUAAUACUUUUUUUUAUUGAAAAAAAAAUACAUCAGUUUAAAUACUUUUAAAGUUAUAUAUUCUUCAAUUAAAUAAAAAUGAAGAUAGAAAAAUCAGUUUAAAGGGAGGUAUGUUCAACGCAUAUAAUAAAUACAUCAAAGGAAAUUACGGAAAGUGCAUUGAACCUACGAGUUGUUGUUUGAAAAGGUUUAUGAUUGUGUGUUUUGGGAUUUUCUUAGGUUCUUGCUUCGGAAAAUGGGGUUUGAUGAGCGAUAGAGGAGAUGGAUUGAAGCCCCUGUGUUUAAUAGUUCCAUGUCGAUUCUUGUGAAUGGUAGUUCAACGGGGGAUUUCGAGGUGUCGAGGGGGUUAAGGCAAGGGGAUUUGUUAUCUCCGUUCCUUUUUUUAUUAGUGAUGGAAGGGCUUGCGUCUUUGGGGAGUUUAAGGGUUUUCCUUUGGAUUCUCAUUCUACUUUGGAGAUUCUCCAAUUUGCGGAUGACACCGAGCUUAUCGGAGAGGAUUUGUGGGAUAAUCUUUGGGCUUUCAAGGCUAUUCUUAGAGGAUUUGAACUUGUUUCCGAUUUAAAAGUUAAUUUAUCUAAGAGUAGGCUUUUUGGGGUUAAUCUUAACCGGACUUUAUCCAAGCGGCUUCGUCCUUUCUUUGUUGUGAUAUUAGUUCCUCUUUGUUUGUUUUUCUUGAUAUUUUGGUGGGGAUUAAUCCGAAGAGGUGUGCGGUUUAGAGACCUAUUGUUGAUAAAUUAAAAAGAAGACUUGGAGGAUGGCAUCACAAACACCUUUCUAUUGGAGAGAUAGUUGUUCUUUUGAAUUCUAUUCUAUCUAGUAUUCUGAUAUACAUGUUUUCUUUCUAUAAGGCUACAGUUACUUAGUACAUAAUAAUAAAGAAUAACACUAUUUUUAAUUUAAUAAAAUUAUUUAAUAAUUCAUCCUCAAUACAAAUACUAAAAUAUAAAAACAAUUCUAAUUAUUAUGAAUUAAAAAACAUAUUUACAAAAAAAGCUUAAAAAAUAUUAUUUUUUAUUAAAUUAAAAGUAUUUUAAAAAAAAUUAAACCACUAAUAUUUUUUUAAUAAGCAAUGGAAUUGAUAAGGAGAAUAAGGGAUACCCCGACCGAAAAAACAACACAGAAAACUUCUACUUCUCGAAAAAAAAAGAGAGGAAGAAUAUUCCAAACAUGAAAGUUACAAGAGUCCGCUAGAUUGUAAUAAGAACAUAGCCACUUCCAAGAGUUAAACAUAAUCUCUGAAAUACAUUCGAAAAAACUAAACGAAGCAUUCCUAAAAAUGAUCGCAUUGCGCCUAUUCCAAAUGCAUCGCGCAGUUGAUAACCAAAUGACCACUAACAUAAAUUUUUUGGCUAAUAUCUUCACCUUCUCAAUGGAAAAAAAGAACUCCUUGAACUCUUCCAAAGUUAAAACCGCACCGUAGGGGUGUUCAUUGGUUCGGGUAAACCGAACCAAACCAGAAUCCGAACCAAAUCAUAGUGUUUGGGUUGGAUAUUUUUUCAGUUCGGGCAAGAACCGAACCAAACCAAUGAAAUUCAAUGACAAUCGGUUCGGGCAUCGGAUUUUCAACUUUCUACCCGCAAGCCCAACCCAAACCAACCAUAAUUAAUUAUCAUGAAAAUUACUACAAAGCAUUCAACUUCAAUAAGAAAAAAAUAAAAUGUUGUGUGUGGACAAGUUAUGCUAUUUUAAUUUAUUAUUAGAAAAUUGAUAGUGUAAUAUGAUAAAUGAACAUAAAGUUAUGAAACACAUUCAUUAUUAUAUUAAUUGAAGUGACUAGUUAUAGAUUCAAAAGUCUUAAUCUUAGAGAUUAAUUUUGUGAGAUAUUUUUGAAUCUAUUAGAGAAAAUUUUGUAGUAUAAUAUUUAAAUUUGAACACUAUUAAUAUUAUAUUUUUUAUAAUAUUAUGAAAAAUUAAUUUUUGUAAAUAAGUUAUUUUUUAAAAAUAUUUUUGCAAUUUUUAUCUACCCGAUCAAUCCAACCCAAACCAAUCCGUUGUUUCUCGGAUCGGUUCGGUUUGGGCUUUAUCGCAAAAAUUUAUAAACCCAAUCCAAACCAAUCCAUUUAAUUUUAAUUGGUUUGGGUAUCGGAUUCUCUCAAAACCGAACCAAACCGGCCCGCGAACACCCCUACCGCACCGCAAUCAAUUUACUCGAACACCUUCUUCCAAAAAAAUUUCACGACCACACAACCCCCUAAAAGAUGCGAUAGACAUUCUUCCUCUGACAAAUAAAAAACACACUUAAGAUCUCCACUAACCUCCGUCACACCCCUCUUAUGUAAUUAAUCUUUGGUUGAUAGUCUAUUGUGUAUAAUCCUCCAACCGAUAAAAAGAAUUUUAGACGGAGCUGUUACCUUCCAUAAGUGAUUGGAAGCUUUGACAAUGCGAGGAUUAAUAUUAGAAAUAAGUCAUCCUCAUUUAAUGGAUUCUUCUUGAUUCAUAGGGAUUCAUGAACAUUAUAAUUAUCUUCGAGGUGGAUUACUAUGAAGUUGUUAUGGUAAUGCUAAAAACGGUUUACGUAGUUAAUUACCGUGAAAUUUAGUAAAUAACUUGUAGUCUUCUAAAUACUAAUAAUAAUUUGGUUGGUUGCAGGAUCAACUAGAUUAAUCCUAAAAUAUAUGUGCCUAAGUUUUUAAAGUUUGUCGUAAAUUAUGUUUAAAGAUGGAGAUUUUAAUAUGAGAACAAAUUCUUCAAAGUAAUGUAGAAAUUAUUUGUAUUAAUGAAGAGGAAUGUAAAAAGGAAUUUAACAAAACAGUAAAGUGCAUUGAAUAACUUAAUAAAAUUUAUUUUGCAUUGAAUAAAAGGAAAUAGUGUUUCAUACCUACAUUUCACUUAGUGAUGACUCUUUUCUCAACAUACUAGAUACUUUGGGUAAUAUGAGUUUGUAAAUAAUUGAACACACCGAAUCCUGAUGCUAGAACCCCUAUUUAUACUAAAUCAAAAUAACUGUCUUAAACGGUCUUUUCUUUUUUUUUCAAAAAUUGAGUUAUUUCCUAUUUGCAUGGAUCAUGUCUUCAAUUUGCUUCCACGUGUCUUUCGCCAAUAGAUAACGCCAAAAAAUAAUUAUUACAAUGCUUCUUUUGAUUUUUCAUUAUUAGUCUUUUUUUCACGGCAUAAUAACAAAUGUAAGUCCUAACAAUGAUAUUUUCAAAUUUAUAUAAUUUGAUUCUCCUUUUUCGAAUAGCAACUAAAAGCCUCAUUUCCAACUACAAACAAUCCUUUGUUGAGCAAGUUAUGUGCUACUAUAGAUUUUUCAAAGUCAAUUGUCUUACUGAUUUUAAUUAUAGUUGUCUUAAUUUGUUUUUUGUUGUUCACUUAUUAUGGAUGGGUAAGGCAAUGGUAGUUCCUUGGAAAAAAACGUAUUUUCGAAGCAUGCCGUCAAAUUAUGAAUAUUUCC